CCUACGGGAGGCUGCAGUGGGGAAUAUUGGACAAUGGGGGGAACCCUGAUCCAGCCAUGCCGCGUGUGUGAAGAAGGCCCUCGGGUUGUAAAGCACUUUCAGUGAGGAAGAACGCCUGGUGGUUAAUACCCAUCAGGAAAGACAUCACUCACAGAAGAAGCACCGGCUAACUCCGUGCCAGCAGCCGCGGUAAUACGGAGGGUGCGAGCGUUAAUCGGAAUUACUGGGCGUAAAGCGCGCGUAGGUGGCUUGAUAAGCCGGUUGUGAAAGCCCCGGGCUCAACCUGGGAACGGCAUCCGGAACUGUCAAGCUAGAGUGCAGGAGAGGAAGGCAGAAUUCCCGGUGUAGCGGUGAAAUGCGUAGAGAUCGGGAGGAAUACCAGUGGCGAAGGCGGCCUUCUGGACUGACACUGACACUGAGGUGCGAAAGCGUGGGUAGCAAACAGGAUUAGAUACCCGGGUAGUC
rnacentral:rRNA from 1 species